GGGGAUGACAGGCUUUCGACAGGGUAGGUGUAAGGUGGCGUUGCACUCCGAGUUUCAGCAUGGAUGGACUCGUUAAAGAAGUCUAUGCAACCUUUAGAUGCAGACGAUUAUUCGUAUGCAAUGGCUGCCUAAUUAGCAAAAGUUAAUUAACCAGCCAUCGCUCUUCAGCGGAGGCGCUUACUCCAAGGCUGUUAGAGUGGCAUAAUUCGCGCUUGAGCUCUGCUCGCGCAAGUAAGCUCCGUUUUGUAUUGCCUGAUGUGCUUAGCGGGUAUUUAUUCGGGAUAGUAAGUUGAACGUUACAAGUGUCGUACCAACUUAUGAAUCUUAAACACUUGAGAUGAGUGUGGUAGCGUUAUCAAGCAAUAUUCUGGACGCGGGUUCGAAUCCCGCCAUCUCCACCA
rnacentral:tmRNA from 15 species